rnacentral:rRNA from 1 species
AUUGAACGCUGGCGGCAUGCUUUACACAUGCAAGUCGAACGGCAGCGCGGGCUUCGGCCUGGCGGCGAGUGGCGAACGGGUGAGUAAUACAUCGGAACGUGCCCAGUAGUGGGGGAUAGCUCGGCGAAAGCCGGAUUAAUACCGCAUACGACCUGAGGGUGAAAGCGGGGGAUCUUCGGACCUCGCGCUAUUGGAGCGGCCGAUGGCAGAUUAGCUAGUUGGUGGGGUAAAGGCCUACCAAGGCGACGAUCUGUAGCUGGUCUGAGAGGACGACCAGCCACACUGUGACUGAGACACGGCCCAGCCUCCUACGGGAGGCAGCAGUGGGGAAUUUUGGACAAUGGGCGAAAGCCUGAUCCAGCAAUGCCGCGUGUGUGAUGAAGGCCUUCGGGUUGUAAAGCACUUUUGGCGGGAACGAAAAGGACUGUGCCAAUACCACGGUUCGAUGACGGUACCCGCAGAAUAAGCACCGGCUAACUACGUG